rnacentral:rRNA from 1 species
GACGAACGCUGGCGGCGUGCUUAACACAUGCAAGUCGAACGGAAAGGCCCUGCUUUUGUGGGGUGCUCGAGUGGCGAACGGGUGAGUAACACGUGAGUAACCUGCCCUUGACUUUGGGAUAACUUCAGGAAACUGGGGCUAAUACCGGAUAGGAGCUCCUGCUGCAUGGUGGGGGUUGGACAGUUUCGGCGGUUGGGGAUGGACUCGCGGCUUAUCAGCUUGUUGGUGGGGUAGUGGCUUACCAAGGCUUUGACGGGUAGCCGGCCUGAGAGGGUGACCGGUCACAUUGGGACUGAGAUACGGCCCAGACUCCUACGGGAGGCAGCAGUGGGGAAUAUUGCACAAUGGGCGGAAGCCUGAUGCAGCAACGCCGCGUGCGGGAUGACGGCCUUCGGGUUGUAAACCGCUUUCGCCUGUGACGAAGCGUGAGUGACGGUAAUGGGUAAAGAAGCACCGGCUAACUACGUG